AUGCAUCUGAGCGAGAAUGAGGGGAUCGAGGGCGUGCGGCUCGCGGUGACUGGCGGGCAGGGCUUCGUCGGCGCCGCGCUAUGCCUGGAGCUGAUCCGCCGCGGCGCCCUGGAGGUCUGCUCCCUCGACGGCUCGACCUGUGCGAUUCCUCCUCUUGGUCCCAGCAGCUCCUCGACACCGGCGUCCGCUUCUUCCAAGGUUCGAGAUAUUAAUGUCAUACAGAUGCUUCUUUGCCAUGAGUGUGUAAACUUGAUGAGGCAACAUGGUCUUCAAGCACAAGAAAUACCCAUGGACGAGGAUCAGCAGCUAAUGGCAAACGCGUUAGCGAGCUCCGAGUGUGGUGGCCCGUGCAACAUGAAGAAGACCAUCCGGACAAAGGGCAGGUACACAAAUAGCCAAGAAUACAAGGAGACGUGCAGUGACAGAGACUUGCCUGAAUGUUGUUUUCUUCCGCGUGAAGUGCUUACAAUUCUCAAAGGCGUCAACAAGUCCCGGAGGAGACUGACAAGGUGCAGGCAAGAUCUCAAGUUCAUUGCUAUCUUUUUCUGUCUGAACAUUUUCUUAUUUGGAGUUGCAGCCGAUUUAUGUUGGUUUGGUACCAUCAGCCGAUUGGCCAGUUGGAAAACCAGCGGGGAAAACAUGUACUAUGAGAUCCCCUCGCAUUCAGAGUUUAGAGCUUGA
rnacentral:rRNA from 1 species